rnacentral:rRNA from 1 species
UACGUGGAGGGGCGAACGUUGUUCGGUGUCACUGGGCUUAAAGGGCGCGUAGGUGGCUGCGUAAGUAAGGUGUGAAAGCCCCUCGGCUUACCCGGGGAAUUGCGCCUUAUACUGCGUGGCUUGAGGAUUUCAGGGGGAAAGGGGAACUCCGAGUGGUAGCGGUGAAAUGCGCAGAUAUUCGGGGGAAGCCGGCGGCGAAGGCGCCUU